UUUCUCCCCUGCCAGUUAAGCACAAUGAUCAUGAAGGGUGUGCUUCCAGGCUGAGGCUAUCCUAUUGCACGUUGGGUGUGCCGACACCUGCGAUGUCCCCAAAUGCGGGGUAUUCUACUGCAGGCUUUGUGGUAAUGGGGAUUGCAUUCGCGCUGUCCCCU